rnacentral:rRNA from 1 species
AAGCCUGAUGCAGCAACGCCGCGUGAGGGAUGACGGCCUUCGGGUUGUAAACCUCUUUUGGUAGGGAAGAAGCCUUCGGGUGACGGUACCUGCAGAAAAAGCGCCGGCUAACUACGUGCCAGCAGCCGCGGUAAUACGUAGGGCGCAAGCGUUAUCCGGAAUUAUUGGGCGUAAAGAGCUCGUAGGCGGUCUGUCGCGUCUGCUGUGAAAUUCCGAGGCUCAACCUCGGGCUUGCAGUGGGUACGGGCAGACUAGAGUGCGGUAGGGGAGAUUGGAAUUCCUGGUGUAGCGGUGGAAUGCGCAGAUAUCAGGAGGAACACCGAUGGCGAAGGCAGAUCUCUGGGCCGUUACUGACGCUGAGGAGCGAAAGGGUGGGGAGCAAACAGGCUUAGAUACCCUGGUAGUCCACCCCGUAAACGUUGGGAACUAGUUGUGGGGUCCUUUCCACGGAUUCCGUGACGUAGCUAACGCAUUAAGUUCCCCGCCUGGGGAGUACGGCCGCAAGGCUAAAACUCAAAGGAAUUGACGGGGACCCGCACAAGCGGCGGAGCAUGCGGAUUAAUUCGAUGCAACGCGAAGAACCUUACCAAGGCUUGACAUACACCAGAACGGGCCAGAAAUGGUCAACUCUUUGGACACUGGUGAACAGGUGGUGCAUGGUUGUCGUCAGCUCGUGUCGUGAGAUGUUGGGUUAAGUCCCGCAACGAGCGCAACCCUCGUUCUAUGUUGCCAGCACGUAAUGGUGGGAACUCAUGGGAUACUGCCGGGGUCAACUCGGAGGAAGGUGGGGAUGACGUCAAAUCAUCAUGCCCCUUAUGUCUUGGGCUUCACGCAUGCUACAAUGGCCGGUACAAUGGGCUGCGAUACCGCGAGGUGGAGCGAAUCCCAAAAAGCCGGUCCCAGUUCGGAUUGAGGUCUGCAACUCGACCUCAUGAAGUCGGAGUCGCUAGUAAUCGCAGAUCAGCAACGCUGCGGUGAAUACGUUCCCGGGUCUUGUACACACCGCCCGUCAAGUCAUGAAAGUCGGUAACACCUGAAGCCGGUGGCCUAACCCUUGUGGAGGGAGCCGUCGAAGGUGGGAUCGGUAAUUAGGACUAAGUCGUAACAAGGUAGCCGUACCGGAAGGUGCGGCUG